GGACAAAUCCCGGGAUGGAGUCCAGGGUUUCCCGCGGCUUCGGCGCUUCCUGACCUGGCGUGACUGCCGACUUGUCGGCACCACCCAGGCCUCAGGCUCCCUGUCUGUAGUGGUGAAUCGACCUUCCUCAUGGCAGUCCAGGCUUCCCAAGCCCCAUGUCCUGUUGAUCCGGGACAAACUCUUCCUUGAACGUUCUUCACUACGAGCCGCUGCUGAUCUGUACUGCCUGGAGGAGCAUUUCCAUAGCGCCCGCAAAAAUACAAUAAAGCUCACCCAAGGAAAUAACCAUGGAUUCUCACGCCUGGGUGCCAGUGUUUGGAAUCGACUGGGCUUUUUUAUGUUAGUAGGCAAUUUAAAACAAUUACUUAUUUGAAAUCAGAAGCGCAAUAGGCAUAACUUCAGAAUUCCUCUUCUCCCUAUCAUAACCUGUGUCGCUGGGAUUGUAUCCACAAGCUUCUGAAGCCCUCUGAGGGGUGGGUAAUCACGCUGUGAUUCUUCCUGUGUAUACACGUUAAGUAAAUUUGUAUGUUUUUUCUA
rnacentral:lncRNA from 1 species